rnacentral:rRNA from 1 species
AGUGAACGCUAGUGGCGUGCUUAACACAUGCAAGUCGAACGGACGAUAUUUGUGCUUGCACAAAUAAAGUUAGUGGCAAACGGGUGAGUAAUACAUGAGAAUUUUCCUUGCAGUACGGAAUAACUAUUGGAAACAGUAGCUAAUACCGUAUAUUGCCGAGAGGUGAAAGAUUUAUCGCUGCAAGAUAAGCCCAUGCAAGAUUAGCUUGUUGGUAAGGUAAUGGCUUACCAAGGCUACGAUCUUUAGCUGGUUUGAGAGGAUGAUCAGCCACACUGGAACUUAGACACGGUCCAGACUCCUACGGGAGGCAGCAGUGGGGAAUUUUGGACAAUGGGCGAAAGCCUGAUCCAGCAAUGCCGCGUGCAGGAUGAAGGCCUUCGGGUUGUAAACUGCUUUUGUACGGAACGAAAAAGCUUCUCCUAAUACGAGAGGCCCAUGACGGUACCGUAAGAAUAAGCACCGGCUAACUACGUGCCAGCCGCCGCAGUAAAAC